rnacentral:rRNA from 1 species
GUCCACGCCCUAAACGAUGUCGACUAGUUGUUGGGGAAGGUAACUUCCUUAGUAACGUAGCUAACGCGUGAAGUCGACCGCCUGGGGAGUACGGCCGCAAGGUUAAAACUCAAAGGAAUUGACGGGGACCCGCACAAGCGGUGGAUGAUGUGGAUUAAUUCGAUGCAACGCGAAAAACCUUACCUACCCUUGACAUGUCUGGAACCCUGGUGAGAGCUGGGGGUGCCCGAAAGGGAGCCAGAACACAGGUGCUGCAUGGCUGUCGU